UACGUAGGGUGCGAGCGUUGUCCGGAAUUACUGGGCGUAAAGGGCGCGUAGGCGGCCAUCUAAGUCGAACGUGAAAUCCCCGGGCUCAACCCGGGAACUGCGUCCGAUACUGGUUGGCUUGAAUCCGGGAGAGGGAUGCGGAAUUCCAGGUGUAGCGGUGAAAUGCGUAGAUAUCUGGAGGAACACCGGUGGCGAAGGCGGCAUCCUGGACCGGCAUUGACGCUGAGGCGCGAAAGCCAGGGGAGCAAACGGG
rnacentral:rRNA from 1 species